AAUCUACAUCUACAUCUACAUCUACAUCUACAUCUACAUCUACAUCUACAUCUACAUCUACAUCUACAUCUACAUCUACAUCUACAUCUACAUCACUUCGUCUGCAGUUGUCCCCACCCACGUCGAAUCUACGCUCAUGCACACUCUUUCACAUCUACCCACGAAAAUCUACGCACAUCUACCUGCCCAGUCAUCCACAUCCACCCAUAACUACAAUCGUCCUCAGUCAUCCGUAUUCACAAACAUCCACAAUCAUCCACAUCCACAAUCAUCCCAAAACAUCCACAAACAUGCACAUCCACAUCCACCCAUAUCCACAACCAUCCACACACACCCACAUGCAUCCGCAAAUAUCCACAUCUACAACCAUCCACAAACCUUUACAUGCCCAAUCAUCUGCAGUCAUCCGUAUCCACAAACAUCCACAAUCAUCCACAAUCAUCCACAUCUACACCCGCAACUACUAUCAUCCACGAACAUCCACAGACAUCCACAAUCACCUACAAACAUCCACAAACCUUUACAUGCCCAAUCAUCCACAUCCACCCAUAACUACAAUCAUCCGCAGUCAUCCGUACCCACAAACAUCCAUAAUCAUCCACAUCGACAAACAUCCACAAUCAUCCACAUCCACCCAUAACUACAAUCAUCCACAGUCAUCCACAUCCACAAACAUCCACAAACAUCGACAGUCAUCCACAAACAUCCACAUCCCCAAACAUCCACAAUCAUCCGCAAUCAUCCGCAAACAUCCACACCCAUCCACAAUCAUCCACAUCCACAAACAACCACACACUUGCACAAAUAUCCACAUCCACAAACAUCCACAGCCACGUCCAUAAUCAUACACAUCCACAGUCAGCCACAAAUAUCCACAUCGACAAUCUUCCACAACCAUCCAUACACAUCCACAAUCAUCCACAUCAUCCACAUCCGCAUCAUCCAAAUCAUCCACAUCAUCUACAUCCACACCAUCUACAUCAUCUAGCUCUUUAAGUAAAAGCUAAUAUAGUAAGUAUUACUGUGGUAUUUUUUCAGUAUAAAGUAGCAUAGUAUAGCCAAUCUGUAUUUAUGGAUAGACUAAUUAAAG
ensembl:lncRNA